rnacentral:rRNA from 1 species
UACGUAGGUGGCAAGCGUUAUCCGGAAUUAUUGGGCGUAAAGCGCGCGCAGGUGGUUUGUUAAGUCUGAUGUGAAAGCCCACGGCUCAACCGUGGAGGGUCAUUGGAAACUGGGAGACUUGAGUGCAGAAGAGGAAAGUGGAAUUCCAUGUGUAGCGGUGAAAUGCGUAGAGAUAUGGAGGAACACCAGUGGCGAAGGCGACUUUCUGGUCUGUAACUGACACUGAGGCGCGAAAGCGUGGGGAGCAAACAGG